CAGACUGACUGACUCGGCUCCGUCAUUACUACAUCUGGUGACCCCGACGUGAUACCCCCUGCUCAUCGGCUGGAACAGCCCCCGGUGCACCGACCUCCGCUAGAAAAGCUUCAUUUCGGGGAACAGAUGUGACCCGGAACGCUGGGGGUUUCGGGUCCACCUUAGCGAAGGCCCAUCCUCAGGUGGCAGCGAUUACUCAAGCAAUAGGACAAGCAAAGUUUAAACGUCCGUUGUGGGUCCCUGCCAAGAACGUGCGACCGUGGCACGAUGACGUGGCAUCAAGGCCUCAAGAACCCGAUACCCGACUUCAAUCUGAAUCUAACCGAGACCAUUCAAGCGUGCCAAGCCACAAAGACGGCACCAAAGGUCACCUGGGGGCAGGUGAAACAACUGACGCAGCAGGCUCAGCAAACGCUGGAGAAUAACAAGGCCAAGCCUACCCCCGAGAAUUUUACUGCUGCUAUUUUUGCUUGUUUGACCGUUAAUUCUUGUACCAUAUUGUUGUGUUGUUUUUGUGUGUCAUUGGUUGGGGCCGAACCCGAAUUGCAUAGCUGCAUGCGUUAUAAU